rnacentral:rRNA from 1 species
UUCGAGUGGGCGGACGGGUGAGUAACGCGUGGGUAACCUGCCUUACACAGGGGGAUAACACCUGGAAACAGGUGCUAAUACCGCAUAAGCGCACAGGGCCGCAUGGCCCGGUGUGGAAAAACUACCGGUGGUGUAAGAUGGACCCGCGUCUGAUUAGCUUGUUGGCGGGGUAGGGGCCCACCAAGGCGACGAUCAGUAGCCGGCCUGAGAGGGGUGGACGGCCACACUUGGGACUGAGACACGGCCCAGACUCCUACGGGAGGCAGCAG